rnacentral:misc_RNA from 1 species
AAGUCGUAACAAGGUUUCCGUAGGUGAACCUGCGGAAGGAUCAUUAACACGUAUCCAACGUUAAACCCCCCUGUGAACCUUUAGUGUGCUCCCUCAUUCUGUUGGAACGUGGCAAUCCCUGGUAAAUCAUCGCCGAACAGUUUUGAUUCAGGGACUUCUGCAAAGAGUGCUGGUUGUAGCGCGAGGCAAGUGGCCUGGCAUUCCUCUGCUUGUUAGUGUCUGAAAGUGUCACUGGCUCUGUAAGAAUGGCGCAGUCACGAUCGCUAGAGGCCGACACGGCCGGCGACCGGGUCACCGGGCUCACGCCCCCCUAUCACCCCUUUGCAUGAAAACGGGCCUGCGCUUAAUUGUGCGGCCAUAAACCGAACAACUGUUAACAAUGGAUAUCUUGGUUCUCGCAACGAUGAAGAUCUUGGUUCUC